ensembl:ncRNA lncRNA:CR45610 long non-coding RNA:CR45610
GGAAAUAGCUGACAUCCAAGAGGGGAUGAUUUAUUAGUAGGGCGAUCGUUAUGGGAGAGAACGAGACGGCUGCGCCGAUCGUGGCUCCGCCUCUCCUCAUGGAGCUCCUCGCACAACCGUUAUCCAGGCUAUACUGAAUGCACAGGGAUCCCAGGAGCCAGGAGCCAUUGACCACGGAGAACCCCAGAACCCCCAACAAAAAUUACCGACAGAGAGCGGAAAACUCUGGCACCGUGGAAAUUCCAGUGGCGCAGGGGAAAUGCUCACUGCCACAGGAGAAUAAAAAACAAAAGCGACUGCCAAUCGAGGAACAU